rnacentral:rRNA from 1 species
UACGUAGGGCGCAAGCGUUGUCCGGAUUUAUUGGGCGUAAAGAGCGUGUAGGCGGCCAUACAGGUCAGCUGUGAAAACUCGAGGCUCAACCUCGAGACGUCGGUUGAAACCGUUUGGCUAGAGUCCGGAAGAGGAGAGUGGAAUUCCCGGUGUAGCGGUGAAAUGCGCAGAUAUCGGGAAGAACACCCGUGGCGAAGGCGGCUCUCUGGGACGGUACUGACGCUGAGACGCGAAAGCGUGGGGAGCGAACAGG